AUCUUAGACAAUGGGGGCAACCCUGAUCUAGCCAUGCCGCGUGAGUGAAGAAGGCCUUAGGGCCGUAAAGCUCUUUCGCCAGGGAUGAUAAUGACAGUACCUGGUAAAGAAACCCCGGCUAACUCCGUGCCAGCAGCCGCGGUAAUACGGAGGGGGUUAGCGUUGUUCGGAAUUACUGGGCGUAAAGCGCACGUAGGCGGACUUGAAAGUUGGGGGUGAAAUCCCGGGGCUCGACCUCGGAACUGCCUUCAAAACUCCAAGUCUAGAGUUCGAGAGAGGUGAGUGGAAUUCCGAGUGUAGAGGUGAAAUUCGUAGAUAUUCGGAGGAACACCAGUGGCGAAGGCGGCUCACUGGCUCGAUACUGACGCUGAGGUGCGAAAGUGUGGGGAGCAAACA
rnacentral:rRNA from 1 species